rnacentral:rRNA from 1 species
UACGUAGGGUGCAAGCGUUGUCCGGAAUUAUUGGGCGUAAAGAGCUUGUAGGCGGUUUGUCGCGUCUGCUGUGAAAUUUCGGGGCUCAACCCCGAACUUGCAGUGGGUACGGGCAGACUAGAGUGUGGUAGGGGAGACUGGAAUUCCAGGUGUAGCGGUGAAAUGCGUAGAUAUCUGGAGGAACACCGGUGGCGAAGGCAGCCUUCUGGGCCAACACUGACGCUCAUGCACGAAAGCGUGGGGAGCAAACAGG